rnacentral:rRNA from 1 species
UACGGGGGGAGCAAGCGUUGUUCGGAUUUACUGGGCGUAAAGGGCGCGUAGGCGGCGUGACAAGUCACUUGUGAAAUCUCCGGGCUUAACUCGGAACGGUCAAGUGAUACUGUCGUGCUAGAGUACAGAAGGGGCAACUGGAAUUCUCGGUGUAGCGGUGAAAUGCGUAGAUAUCGAGAGGGACACCUGCGGCGAAGGCGGGUUGCUGGGCUGAUACUGACGCUGAGGCGCGAAAGCCAGGGGAGCGAACGGG